rfam:Lactobacillus wasatchensis strain WDC04 contig00007, whole genome shotgun sequence.
UGCCCCGUAGUUCAGUGGUAGAAUAGUUGACUGUUAAUCAAAGGGUCGUAGGUUCGAAUCCUACCGGGGCAG